UACGAAGGGGGCUAGCGUUGUUCGGAAUCACUGGGCGUAAAGGGCGCGUAGGCGGCCGAUCAAGUCGGGGGUGAAAGCCUGUGGCUCAACCACAGAAUUGCCUUCGAUACUGUUUGGCUUGAGACCGGAAGAGGUAAGUGGAACUGCGAGUGUAGAGGUGAAAUUCGUAGAUAUUCGCAAGAACACCAGUGGCGAAGGCGGCUCUCUGGGACGGUACUGACGCUGAGACGCGAAAAGCGUGGGGAGCGAACAGG
rnacentral:rRNA from 1 species